AUUAGCAACAUGAGAACAGACUAAUACACACAGCCACCACUUUGAGAUUUACUCAUUUCUCUGGGUAUCUCUGUGAACCCAAAAAGUAUCUGGGACAGUUCUCAAUCAAUUUAGAAAGUUUAUUUUGCCAAGAUUAAGGACACACCCAUGACACAGCCUCAAGAGGUCCUGAUGACAUGUGUUCAAGGUGGUGGGGCCAGAGCUUGGGUUUAUACAUUCUAGAGAGACAUGAGACAUCAAUCAAUAUGUAUAAGAUGUACACUGGUUUGGUCCAGAAAGUCAAGACAGCUCAAAGCAGGGGCUUCCGGUCAUAGGUAGAUAAAAGACAAACAGUUGCAUUCUUUUGAGUCUUUGAUCAUCCUUUCUCUGAAUACACAAUUUACAUGUGAGAGGAGUGUAGAAUAGUAGUCACUUAUGCCUUAGACUGCCUCAGUGAAUCUGCAUUUUUCCAUGAACAAUAGGGUAGAGGAAGCAAUCAGAUAUGCAUUUGUCUUAGGUGAGCAGAGGGAUGAUUUUGAGUUCUGUCCUUUGUCCUGCACCUGUGAAAAUAAGCUAUCAAUUUACUUUGCCAAACUGAAAUUCAAAAGAACUGUUUUAGGGGAAUUACUUUGUGGACAAAUUGUGAGGGAGGUAUGUAGCUUAUCUUUGUAGCUAUCUUAUUUCGGAAUAAAAUGGGAGGCAGGUUUGCCUGGUGCAAUUCCAAGCCUGACUUUUCCCUUUGGCUUAGUGAUUUGGUGGUCCCAAGAUUUAUUUUCCUUUCAUAUUCCCAUGUUUACCUGAAGUAUGCAUGCUAAUUAAUUUGUUUUUCUCCUCUUAAUGUCUUUUUUGUUGUAGGGACCCAUUCCAACUGAGAACUUUAAAGAUGAUUGAUAUCCCUUUGUAACACAGUAUGGAUAAUCUUCGUGAAUGUUCUUUGUGCUCCUGAAGAGAAGUUUCAGGAUUAACGUGUGGCAGAGUGGGGCACCUAUUCUACAAAAAUGGUUUAGUGCCAGGUGUGACUUCAAGCUCUGUGCGUGCUGCCAAAAUGAAAAUGAACUAUGUCAGUGCCGUGAUGUCCAGUUGAGCUGUGACCUGGAUUCUGGUCUCGCAUACACAGAAGCAACUGAAAGCUGAGAAUGAGGGGCCGCCGAUGGCUGGGUGUGUGGGGGCAUUGUAUUACUUGAGCCCAUCCCUUGAAAAGCUUAGGACUCCACCACCUCCACUGGGAACUCAUCAACUCCUGGCAAGAAGAAUGUCCCUGGGCACGGGGGACAGGGAUCAGCUGUCCGAGACGGAGUCUCUGUCGUGCAGUGAUGUGAUCUCAGCUCACUGCAACCUCCACCUCCCGGAUUCAAGCGAUUCUCUUGCCUCAGCCUCCCAAGUAGCUGGGAUUACAGCCACCUGCCACCACGCCUGGCUGGUUUUUGUAUUUUCAGUAGAGACAAGGUUUCACCAUUUUUGCCAGGCUGGUCUCGAACUCCUGAUCUCAGGCGAUCUGCCCUCCUCAGCCUCCCAAAGUGCUGGGAUUACAGCCGUGAGCCACCAUGCCCGGCCUAGAGUGGUAAAAUCUUAAUAAGAUUUAUAGACCAGUUAGCAGCUUCUUGCUGAUGUGCUGUAUUCUGUACUGUACAGUUAGCAUUGCAGGAAUCAGGAUGGUGAAGGGUACACAGGACCCUCUCUGUAUUAUUUUUGCAACUUCCUAUGAGUCUACAAUUAUUUCAGAAUACUGAGUUAAAAAUAACUGGAAUAUGUACAUUGUUAGUUUGUACAAUUAUAAUUAAGCACCUGCCACCGCCUGGUGUUUACAAAUUGCUAACUGGCACGGUCACCACUUCUUCAGAUCAGCAUCUAUCAGCUCACUCCCAUGUUGUUACUUGGUCUCCCAGGGAAAAAAACCACUAAGAAAGGUGGAAAAGAAACAACAGGCACAUUCUCUUUUGUUACGUUAUUUCUCACAAUAAACCUUUUCACUUUA